rnacentral:misc_RNA from 1 species
UGGUGGGUAGUCGUAAUUGUCCUCUCC